rnacentral:rRNA from 1 species
UAUCCGCCUGGAAACUACGAGCAUCAGCUUAAAACCCAAAGGACUUGGCGGUGCUUUACACCCACCUAGAGGAGCCUGUUCUAGAACCGAUAAUCCCCGUUCAACCUCACCUUCUCCUUAUUUCCCGCCUAUAUACCACCGUCGGAAGCUUACCCUGUGAGGGUCUAAUAGUAAGCAAAAACGGUAUUAACCCCAGACGUCAGGUCGAGGUGUAGCACAUGGGAAGGGAAGAAAUGGGCUACAUUCCCCGAUUUGGGGUAUAACGAAAGAUGUCCUGAAAUAACACAUCUAAAGGAGGAUUUAGCAGUAA